GACGAACGCUGGCGGCGUGCUUAACACAUGCAAGUCGAACGGAAAGGCCCUGCUUUUGUGGGGUGCUCGAGUGGCGAACGGGUGAGUAACACGUGAGUAUCCUGCCCUUGACUUUGGGAUAACUUCAGGAAACUGGGGCUAAUACCGGAUAGGAGCUCCUGCUGCAUGGUGGGGGUUGGAAAGUUUCGGCGGUUGGGGAUGGACUCGCGGCUUAUCAGCUGGUUGGUGGGGUAGUGGCUUACCAAGGCUUUGACGGGUAGCCGGCCUGAGAGGGUGACCGGCCACAUUGGGACUGAGAUACGGCCCAGACUCCUACGGGAGGCAGCAGUGGGGAAUAUUGCACAAUGGGCGGAAGCCUGAUGCAGCAACGCCGCGUGCGGGAUGACGGCCUUCGGGUUGUAAACCGCUUUCGCCUGUGACGAAGCGUGAGUGACGGUAAUGGGUAAAGAAGCACCGGCUAACUACGUG
rnacentral:rRNA from 1 species